UUCCCUUGCUAACUGGGCAAAGAGGCACCUUGAAAUGUGGUGCCUUCCUUAAAUCUAGUAGGGGGACAUCAAUCUUCCCUUUUCAUCCCAGCACAGCAUCCUUCCCAGUGGCUGUUUGCUGGUUCAUGCUGGGGAAACAUAU